ACCUUUAACGUUGGUGAAACCAAAGUGACGCAUUGUUAAAGGAACAAGAUUUGAAGAUGUUCAAACUCGCCCUUGCACUUGCUAUCGUGACCUUUGUCACCUGCGCCCCAGCAGACAAUGACUGGACAAGGUUCAAGGGCGCAUUUAACAAGCGCUACAAGUCGCAAUCAGAGGAGGUCAAAAGACGAGGAAUCUGGGAGUCGAACCUUGCCCUUAUCAGAAAACACAAUCAAGAGUACGGGAAUGGAGUACACACUUAUUACCUGGGCGA
rnacentral:sRNA from 1 species